ACCUGUAGAUUGAAUAGUGAUGCUGG
rnacentral:piRNA from 1 species